GACGAACGCUGGCGGCGUGCUUAACACAUGCAAGUCGAACGGGUCUGCCCUGUUUUUUGCGGGGUGGGUCAGUGGCGAACGGGUGAGUAACACGUGAGUAACCUGCCCCUCACUUCUGGAUAACCGCUUGAAAGGGUGGCUAAUACGGGGUGUUCUGGCUGUGCCGCAUGGUGUGGCUGGGAAAGAUUCACUUUUGUGGUGUUUUGGUGGGGGAUGGGCUCGCGGCCUAUCAGCUUGUUGGUGGGGUGAUGGCCUGCCAAGGCUUUGACGGGUAGCCGGCCUGAGAGGGUGGGCGGUCACACUGGGACUGAGAUACGGCCCAGACUCCGGCGGGAGGCAGCAGUGGGGGGUAUUGCACAAUGGGCGGAAGCCUGAUGCAGCGACGUCGCGUGAGGGAUGGAGGCCUUCGGGUUGUGAACCUCUUUCGCCGGUGAAGAAGGUCCUGCUCUUUGUGGUGGGGUUGACGGUAGCCGGGUUAUGAAGCGCCGGCUAACUACGUG
rnacentral:rRNA from 1 species